AAGUAGAGUUGGGAUGUAGCCUGAUUUUAUAGAUUCCAAGGUAGUCCUCUGUCAAUCCUAAAAAUAGAUUAGAAAGCCUUUCCUAUUUAUCAUGUUGCAUUUUAUUGACUUAAUUGGUCCUUAGAUAUGAAAGCAUCUUUGAAGGAGUUUUAGAUCUAGACAUUUCUCUCAGAUUUAAGUAAAAAAAUAAAAUUUGAGGGGAAAUAAUGUUAUUAAACUAUUCUAAUGCUUCACUUUUGAUGAUGUAGUACGUUCCUUUAAAUCUUGGCAGAACUUUCCAAAGCUACUGUUUUCAAUAGAUUCCAGUCCCAUAUUCCCAUGGGCACUUGCUUUCUCAAGUAGACUACUGUAAUAAAAAUGAACUCAAUAUGUAGGAGCUUAUAGUUUUCUCCAGUAUAUUGGUGGUUGCUCACAAAUGGUUCAUUUUAACACAUUUUAGGGAUAAGUAAUCAAAAACAUGAACUUCCCUUUUGUCUUCCCACCAAUGUCUGAACUAUUGUAAAAUAGUAUGUUUCUUUAGCUAUGUUUUGAUUGUAUAGUAUUUCUAAAUAUUUCUCUGUGUUCUGGAUGGUCUCAUAACUGUGGCCAUAAUAGAUAUUAGAAGAUCACUUAGACAAUAUCUAGAAUUAAUGUGAUUCUUGCAAUCAAGACAGACUUGCAAAUGUCUUUUUCUAAGCAGUAGUUAGAAAGAGCUCAAUUAUAGUAUUGACACCUUAAAGCUAAAACAUUUGUUCAACACAAACUUCCAUCACAACUCUGACUAGAUAUCAUCAAGAGAAUGUGGAUUUACAAACAUAAAAGCAAGAAUUUACCAUCUCUCACAAGCAGAUUGCCCCAUGUGAUUGACAAGAAGGCUCAUUGGGUUGUGGUUUGAACAUUGAGGGUGUGAAGAAAAUGAAGCAGUGGCUAAAGAAAUCUUCUCCUCUCACUAAAUAUAACACUAGAGGCUUUCCUUUCUCUUUCCAGAUGAUUAUUCUAUUUCAAAAGUUCCCUUAAAAUUCAGACUUCAACACAUCAAUUGAAUUUCUUCUACUCUAGUUAUGGGUGUUACAGUUUUUUGUGUCAUGACUCAGUGUGUAUGGUUCAAGUUCCUAGUCAGGAGCAGAGAUCUGGAUGUGUGUAGUCCCUAAGCCUGCACACCUUCCUCCUCUUUCAGCAUGGCUUGUGGAGACAUCCCACCAACAUAGACAGGUUGGUCACUGAUGAUCAUUUUAAUAAACACUGUGGGCCAUUUUGCUUUGCUUGUUGGUGAAAAGAAAUGUAUCUAAUUAUUUGAACCUCUGAAGGAUUGUGGACAAGGAGGACCAGACUUUAGAAACUAUCCAUGUGGAUUUUGAGAGCUGCUGCCCAGCAGAAGUCUUAUAAAUAUGCCUUGAAGCAGUCAUUUUGUGAUUAGGAGCUGGGAAGCCCAGGUAUAGUUAGUUUUAGGCUUGUAGGAUUACUUCCUAGUUUCUCUAAACACACAUGGUCGUAAAGGAUGCAUUGAAACACUGCAGGUUGCAGUUGACAGUACCUGCUCUGUCUGCAAAAGCCUCACUUUGCUGGCAACUAUUGGAGAAUGCUUAGUUUGUAUGUCUUGGGAGUUUUCCUUCUUGCUCCUAGCUAAUUUCAUGGCUAUGGUAAGUUAGAAAUACUAUGUUUAUGGCUCAGGACCAGAGGACAACAGGCUUUAAGAGGGCUUAAAUUGGGAUUCGAGGACUGCAGUAAGGAACCCCUCAGAUACCAGGUUCAUAGCAGUCCGGGAUGAUAAGACUAGAUCCUAAAGUUCUUUCAGGGAGCUCUGCCAUGAGACUGAACACAGUGUAUCCAUCAUAGGCCACUUUGACCAACUAAGUUGUAGUUUUUGUUUCAAGUCAACUUAUAUGAGAACUUCCACUACACCGAUCUUGGGAAGUGGGGAUACCCUCUUCUUUAGAACUAGAGCUGCCAUUCUUUUCAUCUUCAGCACAAGUAAGGUAUUAAGUGAGCCAGAGACAAAAAGAGCCAUUUUAGUCUUCAUAAUUAUCUGCUAAGAGAGAUAAUGAGCUGACUGUCUAUUUUAAACUCGAAGGUAAAAAAUGUAUAUUAUAUUUUUUCACUACAGGUACAUGUAACAGUAAAAAGUGUAACAGCAAAGUAUAUAUUUGAUGCUUUCUGUCUUUUCAUGAUAUUGUGCUAACAAGUUGUGCUAGUAUUGAACUCAACCUGAGUUUCACUCAUUUGCUAAGCAUUGGGAACAUUCUGUGUAUUUACCUUAAACAUAAAUAAAUUCCUGAGAGUGUCCUAUAUUUGGAUUGUGAUUUGUAGACUCAUGCUAACUUUAUUGCCUCUUUUUCACACUUGUUGAAAAAUCUGUGAAGAACAUAGUAAGUUAAGGAUUUCCAACUUGGAAAAAUGUACACGAUGUGAAACUGGGGUGCUAUGUUAAAAAUAAACGUAUGAUAACUC
rnacentral:lncRNA from 1 species